GCCCAACGGCCGUGUGGGGGCCGCGAGGGGACCGUGAGGGGACCGUGAGGGGACCGUGAGGGGCACCUGCCGCCGCCCCGUCCCGCCGUGGGGGCGGGUGGCCGGGAGAUAAGGCGGGUGGUGCCGCGGGACGGCGGCGGGAGCUCUUGCAUCAGGCUGCCGCUGCCGGCCGUCGGCGUUCCUCACAGCCCGUCAUCGAUGUAUUGCUUCGCGCUGGCUCCCGUGCGCGGCUGGUGGCGUUGCCAAACACAGGAAGGGUGUGUGUGUGUGUGUGUGUGUGCGUGUGAGUGUGCGUGCGAGGGACGUGUUGGUGUGUUUGUGUCGAGGGCUCGCUUGAGCUUGGCCACAAGGAGAUCACGUACAGGAGCUGUGCUGAUCUGUGCUGGUCUGAUGCCUGGCGCGGCGGCACUCAACGAGCAGCGGUGGCUGACGAGACCCUGGAGCAGAAACAGCGGCACGGAGCUCGCACCACGACAGGUAGACACACGCAAAGGUGUUCCUCGGAGAGGAGAAGCACCAGUGGUGCCUGCGCCUGGUCAGGAGCGAGGUGCUCAGACCGCCACACCACGUCCAGCACCUGGCGCUGGCUGGCCGCACGGCCUCGCUCCUACACCAGAUGACAUCAGUUACUACAGUGGAGACGAAACCCGUGCCCUGAAGCACGAAAUUUAUAUCCUUAAGCAGAACCUCUUCUCUGAAGUCAAGGCAAAAUGUGUUACCAAAGUCUAAUCAGUCUAAUCUUUUUUUUUUUUUUCACUCUUACUAUCCUCCACCUCCCCCACCCCCCUUUCUCUAAACCUCUGGCAGCGGUGAUGUCACGGUGUGCUGACAGCAGAAAUUCUGCCAGGGCAAAGUGCGUGAGGCUGUGUAUUGAAGGGAAGAGGGUGAAUAAUACCAGUUUUCAACGUUGUGUGAGCAGAUGUGGAAAAAAAGGUGACAUUUGUGAUUUGAUCCUUCAGCAUUUUAGUGUUGUUAUCUUGCCUCUUGGAAAAUAAAGUUAAUUCUUAGGAAGUAUAGUUGGUUUUAAAAUGACACGUAUAUAAAUAAGCUAUACUAGUGGUGGUGGUCUGUUCAGGUAGAGUAAAUAGGACUUUAUACAACUGGCUGGCAUGACAGCUCUUUGAGCCUCUACAAAAUCGGAAGAAUAUUCCGUCAUAAACAAAGAGCUACAUGUGGGAGUAGAGGUUGCUCAAUUAAGUUUGCCUAAUUGUCAGAAACAAAUUAGAAGCAGCCCGAAACACUUGCAAAGGAAAUGCACAGUGUAAUGCACUGCACGAUGAUUUUUUUUUUUCUUAUCUUUUAAACAGUUUUCCGGGUGUUGCAGCAUAAGAACACCUGGUCUGGGUGUUCCAGGAAAGUUGCCCCUGGUACACAGCAGGCUCUGAAUUCAAGCUGUGUAACUGUACGUGUUUUCUCUGUUGUCCUUCUUUCAUAAACUGGGACUUUGGUGCUCUGGUAUUAGAGGCCAUUAUGUGGGAUUAAGUUAACACAGGUGCAGCAGUAUAGGAGAAGAAUUGCCUGACUUCCCUGAUGCAGAGCAAAGGUUUCUAAUACCUAAGGGUAGAGGAAAUGAUUUUUGCUUCUGUGUUGCUGCUUUUUCUUUGACUUUUUCCUUACCUACAGACCCAGUCUUAUGAAAUAUUUUGACCAUCUCGUAACAGGUUGUGUGUCUUCAGAAGUCUUGUCUACAGAAGUAGAGGGUGCUCAAGUCUUUUUGGGGGUAUGUAUACCCGUGUGUCUGUGUGGAAGAAUGAAUGUUAUUUUUCAUUCUACAAGGUCUGUCUUGCAGUGAGUAUACCUAAAUAACUGAUUAAAAAUGCAGAGGAGCCAAGGAGACCAGUGAAAUAACAACAGAAGUGUAGCUUUGAGAGCAAGGAUAGUGAGAUCAGUUUUUUGAAAUAAUGUUAGUUCUUAGAGAAUAUGAUAGUUACAGAAGUGUGGUACAGAUGUGAUUUUACUGUAUCUCUCCUUUGAGUAAAAGUUCUCAAAUAACUAGAAAAACUUAAUAAGUUUUAGGAAUUUCCCUUAGAAUUAAUAGUUCUGAUAUCUAGAACUCAUAGUCAAGAUGAGAAUGAUAAUCGUACGAAAGAUUUAGUCUUCAGAGGAAGGAAGACACUUAAAGUGGAACUGAAAAACUAAGAAAUUCCGCUUGCAAGGUGAGUAGUCAUGCUGUCACAGCAACAGUGUCAUGCAUUGUAGCACUGAGUAACCACCAAAGAACUUGUAUGUGAAAACCGCAUAGGUGGCAAGUCAAAAUAGCAUGAACAAAAAACAAAAGCUUCCGAAUGAUAAUCAAGUAUAGAAUAAAACUUCUAAUUUUAAAAAUACUAGAUGAGAUAACACGUCAGUGGUUUAUAAAAUGGAUGCAAACCAUUGUAGUGUAUGUGAUUUAAAUGUGCUUUGGUCUUUACUUAUAUACACAAUUACAUGAUCACCACAUAAUAAACAAGACCUUUUAAACAGGAAGCUUAUUGACCAGUGGAACAGUUCAUUUGGAAAUGUUUUUGAUUUUUAUAUUGUUGGUGGUCUUUAAAUCAGACCAAGUAAACAUUGUGAUAUCCUAUGGCUCAAGCAGAAGCACCAGACUUGCUAACAAUGAUUAGGAUAAACUUCACUUGUCUCAAAGUAAUUAUUUUUUCCUGAUUUUAGUGGUGUUACAAUUGUUAGGUUAAUACUCAAAUACAUCAGUGAACUAGUAUGGCUUGGUUAGUUGAGCUGUAUAACUGUGUAACUAUUUGUGGUUGUAUUUCUAGCAUGGUGAAAGAGAUUUAAAUUUGCAUACUUGUCCUUCCCUCGCCCCUUCCUUUCCCUGUCCCCCCCUCACCGUGAUGUGGUAAGAGGCUCAUAAUUACUCAGCAUUUCUUGGCUGCCACAUGACAGCCUUUUUCAAGCUCCUUUAGCUGGCUGAUGGUUCCAAAGCCCUACCUGUGUUGCUCAGAGGGAGUGGAGCUAGACUGUAGACAAAUAACCUAUUGAAAGGUCUCUAGCAUGUGGAGCUGUUUGUAAUUUCGACACCAAAAUGCCCAUGUAGGCUUAUAAGCUGAUGUCUUCUUUACUGGAGGUGCUCCUAUGAGCUCUGUUUCCAGAGGAACUGCGUUUUCAGUGGCUUUGUAAUUUUGCAGUAGUAGUGAAUAUGCAACAAGUUUUGGAAGCUUUGGCCUGAGUUCUUAACAUAUUGCAGGCCUGAAACAAUGGUUUGCUUGGUAAUCUUCCAUUAAAUAAUUCAGGAUCAGUAACAUUCUUGAAUUACUCAACAGGUUGUCAACUUUUUUUCUUUGGUGAAAAUUUAGCUAUGGGAAAACUUCCGUGUUGCGUUUUGCUUAAUUUUCCUUCAACUAUUCAUGCUUUUGACAUAUUUUUUUUUCAGGGGAAAAAAACCACAAACAAACAUAACAUAACACGACAUUGUGAUGUUGAGAUGGCUAUUACUAAACUAUGCCUGUAUGCCGAAAUAAAAUCAUUAUUAAUAGACAGUGGAAAUAGACCAAACCAAAUGUUACAUAAUGAUCUUUAAUUAAUCAAUAGGAAAGAAAAAAUACACAAGGAGUAAGUUGAAGAAAUAUUUAAAAGGAAGUGGGAGAUUCUGUAAUGUAAUUGGAAUGGAAAUAGCAUUGUAAGUAGAUACAAGUUUUUAUAUUUUAAAGCACAUAAUGUUUUUCUUCGGAUUUUCUUGUAACAUCAUCACAGGUAAUAAAGUAUUAGAUUUAUAAAUGCAAGUAAACCAGUAUUAGAUUUAGAUGUAUUAAAUGUACAAGCAAACCAGUAUUAGAUUUCUUUUAAGAGUUCCGGUUAUUACUAGCCUGACUAGUAAUAUUACUAGUACUUCUGGUACAUUUCCUUUGUACCUGAUGAAACAGCUUGCUGUGCUGAGGCUUUCCCUGAGAGGGGAAUGUCCUGUAUGAACAUCCAGGAAAGAUCUGCAAACUGCCACUGGAAGAGGAGCUGAUGGGGAGCAGGCAUGCAAGGCACCUCUGCGCUCCUGCAGGAUACCUACACUCCCAGAAAAUACAGUGUGUUCCGUACUAGUCAAUCAUGAUACUGAAGUUAUUAUUUUUUUUCCAGUUUAAAUGAAGCUAUUAAUCCUUACAGUACACAAUGAUUUUUUCCUCUGUAAUAACAUUUGUCACUGCAGUGUUAUAUAGUUUUAUUUUAGCAAUAAUAAAAUCUGCAUUGAAUUAAAUACUUACUCUUUUCUCCCAACUCAUUUCUUUAGAGCAAUACAGUUAAAUUAGCUUCUUCCUCAAUAGUUGCUUACUAUUUUUUUCUGAUUUUUCUGAGAUGAACAGAGCUUACUUGUCUUUCAGAGGCCAAUGGCAUAGAAGGGGUGUUCAUAGAGGAGCACAAAUGAGGUAUGAUAAUGGUAAACAGGAGUGUGUUAAACAAUCAUAUCCUAUAACUUUGAAGAAGGAACUGAAGUUAUUCACUUCUGUUUAAAACUCAUAUAAAGUGUUAAAAGAUGUGCACCAUAUACCCCUAUGAUGAAAUCAGUCGACCUGGGAUUUUUGCAGCCAGAUCAACAGUUGUGGAAGUUGCAUAAUUCAUGUAAUUUUGUAGCAUUCCUUUCCUUGUUGUCAUACUUGUCUUUGAUGUUUUUUAACAUCUCCUUGUAAAAUAAACCCGUCUUUCUCUGGAAAGAUCUGCUUCCUUUAUACAAA